rnacentral:rRNA from 1 species
UACCCGCGGCCCGAGUGGUGCUCAUUAUUAUUGAGCUUAAAGCGUCCGUAGCCGGCUUCGUAAAUCCAUGGGUAAAUCGGGCAGCUUAACUGUUCGAAUUCCGAGGAGACUGCGAGGCUCGGGACCGGGAGAGGUCAGAGGUACUCUCGGGGUAGGGGUAAAAUCCUGUAAUCCUGAGAGGACCACCAGUGGCGAAGGCGUCUGACUAGAACGGAUCCGACGGUGAGGGACGAAGCCCUGGGGCGCAAACGGG